CUCAGUAGGAGUCACAGGUCCUUGUAUAGUCUCUCUGACACAUACGAGAAACGGUGUAUUGUAUAUAAAACAAACAAAUGAUGUAAAGCCGCACAGACGGUGAACACUGCAUAAACGUCACUGGUGGAUGCUGUUGAAAC